GGUUCCAUGGUGUAGUGGUUAGUACAUCUGCCUUAUACACAGAGGGUCCCGGGUUUGAUUCCCAGUGGAACCG